GUCGAGCGAACGGACGAGAAGCUUGCUUCUCUGAUGUUAGCGGCGGACGGGUGAGUAACACGUGGAUAACCUACCUAUAAGACUGGGAUAACUUCGGGAAACCGGAGCUAAUACCGGAUAAUAUUUUGAACCGCAUGGUUCAAAAGUGAAAGACGGUCUUGCUGUCACUUAUAGAUGGAUCCGCGCUGCAUUAGCUAGUUGGUAAGGUAACGGCUUACCAAGGCAACGAUGCAUAGCCGACCUGAGAGGGUGAUCGGCCACACUGGAACUGAGACACGGUCCAGACUCCUACGGGAGGCAGCAGUAGGGAAUCUUCCGCAAUGGGCGAAAGCCUGACGGAGCAACGCCGCGUGAGUUGAUGAAGGUCUUCGGAUCGUAAAACUCUGUUACUUAGGGAAGAACAUUAUGUGUAAGUAACUGUGCACAUCUCGACGGUACCUAAUCAGAAAGCCACGGCUAACUACGUGCCAGCAGCCGCGGUAAUACGUAGGUGGCAAGCGUUAUCCGGAAUUAUUGGGCGUAAAGCGCGCGUAGGCGGUUUUUUAAGUCUGAUGUGAAAGCCCACGGCUCAACCGUGGAGGGUCAUUGGAAACUGGAAAACUUGAGUGCAGAAGAGGAAAGUGGAAUUCCAUGUGUAGCGGUGAAAUGCGCAGAGAUAUGGAGGAACACCAGUGGCGAAGGCGACUUUCUGGUCUGUAACUGACGCUGAUGUGCGAA
rnacentral:rRNA from 1 species